CUGUUCCAGGUGUGACGAAUGCAGGCUUUGCUACCAUUUUGGCUGUCUAGACCCUCCCUUGAAGAAGUCUCCUAAACAGACUGGCUAUGGAUGGAUUUGUCAGGAAUGUGACUCUACGUCCUCCAAAGAUUCCGAGCCGUCAAAUGAGGUGGUCUCAGAGGCCCCAGGUAACGUGGUACCCUCUACCUCCAGAAGUAGCUCUGAAGAGCUUGUAUCGGUGGCACAGAAACGUCCAGAAGAGGGAACCUUGAGAGGGGAGCACCAGUACGUUGAAUUUCCAAAUUCAGAACCCACCAUGAAACAACCCAUCUAAGUUUCGCAUGGGAAGACGAAAAUGAAGCUGAGGCAGAAAACCCAUCUCAGGAGCUGAAUUUGGAACAGAAAAAAUCGAAAAAAUAGGAGAUUGCUGUCUUGUUUGAAAUAUUUGCAAGUUGUGUAACAGUGAUUAUAGUUUCUCAUUGUAAAAUUAACAAAAAAAGUUCUCAAUAAAGUCAUUGAAAAUUAAAUUUGUGCCGCACUGGGGAAUUAAUUAAGUAGCUCCUGGUGAUAUUCUUGAUUGCAUUAAAAGCUGAAUUAUCAGAACUUGAGCACCGUACCAAUAAAAUUCUAAAAGCUUUUUGAACACGGUAUAGAAAGCUGAUGGGUUAUUCAUCACUAAUAGCAUUUACUAAGCAAACAGGUCUUUUUUUUUAAUCUGCAAAGUAAUGUUAUCCUUAAAGGAUAGUUAUAACUGACCUAUUUUGCUACUUCUGAGCAAGAGCUUUGAUUCUUAAAAGUUAGAUAAAUAUGUUCUAGUAAACGAGUUCUGAAAUUUCUUCUGAUCAGUGAUUAAAAUAAAUUCUGCUGAGGACUGGGUUGGAGGCACGGGUGUUUUGGUAUGUACAGGAUGUUUUCAUAAGUAAUUAGUUUUAUAUGUUUGUAAUUGGUUUCAUGUCGCAUUAUCAUUUUCUUCCGUGUAAACCUUUCCCAUCUUCACGUGAUCAUGAAUUGUCUUGAUUAGGCCAUCCUGUCCAUGUCCAGUUCCUUCAUACCAAUCUUUCCAUUCUAACAGAUUUAAAUAACUUCUUGCUGUGUCAUUACACCUUUAAGUGAGUAGUGAAAAUCUAAAAUAAAAACCCCUUCUUCCUGUA